GUUUGCUGUAAUUAUCUCAUCUGUACAGAAAGCAUUGAAGAUAGCAUGAACCUCACAGACUUUGGAGAUUUGGGGAAUGAAGACCAUUCAAGGCAUUUAGCAGAAUUGCACUAGGAGAUGAAUUGUAGAUAUGGGAAAAUGAUUGGGAAAGAGUGCAAGAAGAAUGAAACAGGUGUCCUUGUAAAGUCAAAGAAAAAGCAGCUGCCCAGCCAACCACACAGGAGGACAAAGGAGGUCCUGCCAACAACACUCAAGUGUUCGCUUCACACUCACUCUGGAGCUCGUCCUUCCACUCACGCAUGCUCAUGCUCUGCUUUCUGUGUUUACCUAAGGGGAUUUUUCCAUCACUGACAUCCACAAGAAGCUUAAUCAUAUUUAAUGCUGAUGCAUCUGAUAAACGCCUGGGGAUAUCCCACAGCAGAGAAAUGAUGCUUCCAUGUGUGCGGUGCUUCUAUCCAGACCAGCAGACCUGCAGUGUGGUGACCCGGAUGCAGGCCUGAUGCCGUAGAUCUCUCGAGGAAAGAUAUUUGGUAAUGAUCCUGCCCAGUAUAUGACACAGAUCACCAGUACUACAUUACGUCAAAACUGCGAUGCCAUGGAUAACAGAAAUUAAUGGAGUUCUGGUUAUUAGAAGUAUUAAACCCCUG
rnacentral:lncRNA from 1 species